rnacentral:rRNA from 1 species
UACGGAGGGGGCUAGCGUUGUUCGGAAUUACUGGGCGUAAAGCGCGCGUAGGCGGACCUGCAAGUCGGGGGUGAAAGCCCGAGGCUCAACCUCGGAACUGCCUUCGAUACUGCGGGUCUCGAGUCCGGGAGAGGUGAGUGGAAUUCCUAGUGUAGAGGUGAAAUUCGUAGAUAUUAGGAAGAACACCAGUGGCGAAGGCGGCUCACUGGCCCGAUACUGACGCUGAGGCACGAAAGCGUGGGGAGCAAACAGGA